AAACAAUGAUGUGGACACCUCUUAAGUAGCUCCUUGUAUCUUUCCCAAGUUUCAUAUAUGUUCUCUGUGUCAUACUGAAUAAAGGUCUGGAUAUCUGCCCUUAACUU